rnacentral:rRNA from 1 species
GUGGGGAAUCUUCCGCAAUGGACGAAAGUCUGACGGAGCAACGCCGCGUGAGUGAAGAAGGUUUUCGGAUCGUAAAGCUCUUUCGUUAGGGACGAACGUGCUCUUUGUGAAUAAUGAGGAGUAAUGACGGUACCUAAAUAAGAAGCCACGGCUAACUACGUGCCAGCAGCCGCGGUAAUACGUAGGUGGCAAGCGUUGUCCGGAAUUAUUGGGCGUAAAGCGCGCGCAGGCGGGAUAUCAAGUCUGUCUUAAAAGUGCGAGGCUCAACCUCGUGAGGGGACAGAAACUGGUAUUCUUGAGUGUCGGAGAGGAAAGUGGAAUUCCAAGUGUAGCGGUGAAAUUCGUAGAGAUUUGGAAGAACACCAGUGGCGAAGGCGACUUUCUGGACGAUGUCUGACGCUGAGGCGCGAAAGCUAGGGGAGCGAACGGGAUUAGAAACCCCAGUAGUCC